rnacentral:rRNA from 1 species
GCAUAUCAAUAAGCGGAGGAAAAGAAACCAACAGGGAUUGCCCUAGUAACGGCGAGUGAAGCGGCAACAGCUCAAAUUUGAAAUCUGGCUUUCGGGCCCGAGUUGUAAUUUGUAGAGGAUGAUUUUGAUGCGGUGCCUUCCGAGUUCCCUGGAACGGGACGCCAUAGAGGGUGAGAGCCCCGUCUGGUUGGAUGCCAAAUCUCUGUAAAUCUCCUUCGACGAGUCGAGUAGUUUGGGAAUGCUGCUCUAAAUGGGAGGUAUAUGUCUUCUAAAGCUAAAUACCGGCCAGAGACCGAUAGCGCACAAGUAGAGUGAUCGAAAGAUGAAAAGCACUUUGAAAAGAGAGUUAAAAAGUACGUGAAAUUGUUGAAAGGGAAGCGUUUAUGACCAGACUUGGGCUUGGUUAAUCAUCUGGGGUUCUCUCCAGUGCACUUUUCCAGUCCAGGCCAGCAUCAGUUUUCGCCGGGGGAUAAAGGCUUCGGGAAUGUGGCUCCCCUCGGGGAGUGUUAUAGCCCGUUGUGUAAUACCCUGGCGGGGACUGAGGUUCGCGCUUCUGCAAGGAUGCUGGCGUAAUGGUCAUCAACGACCCGUCUUGAAACACGGACCAAGGAGUCGUCUUCGUAUGCGAGUGUUCGGGUGUCAAACCCCUACGCGUAAUGAAAGUGAACGCAGGUGAGAGCUUCGGCGCAUCAUCGACCGAUCCUGAUGUUCUCGGAUGGAUUUGAGUAAGAGCAUACGGGGCCGGACCCGAAAGAAGGUGAACUAUGCCUGUGUAGGGUGAAGCCAGAGGAAACUCUGGUGGAGGCUCGCAGCGGUUCUGACGUGCAAAUCGAUCGUCAAACAUGGGCAUGGGGGCGAAAGACUAAUCGAACCUUCUAGUAGCUGGUUUCCGCCGAAG